rnacentral:rRNA from 1 species
UACUAAAAAUUUAGCCCCUCUCACUAAUUACACCUAAAACACCAUUAAAAUAUUUUACCAUUUAAGUAAAGAUGAUUAAAAUCUUAACAGGAGCCAUACCAACGUACCGCAAGGGAAAAAUGAAAUAAAAAUGAUAUACCUCAAGCACAAAAAAGUAAAGAUUAUAACUUGUACCUUUUGCAUCAUGAUUUAACUAGUCUAAUCAAGCAAAAAGACUUUUAGUUUGACUUCCCGAAACUGAGUGAGCUACCUCAGGGCAGCUUAUUGAGCAAACCCGUCCCUGUUGCAAAAGGGUGGGAAGACCCCGUAGUAGAGGUGAUAAACCUAACGAACUCAGUGAUAGCUGGUUACUCAAGAAAAGAAUUUAGUCCAACCUAAAGACACCCUACAACUUAGAAUAUCCUUUAGAGCAACUCAAAUAAGGUACAGCCUAUUUGAUACAGGACACAACCUCCAACAACGGGUAACUCACUUAUAAUGAAACUAAGUGGGCCUAAAAGCAGCCACCUUGAAAAAGCGUCAAAGCUUAAUUUCACUUAUUACUAAUACCUCAACACAUACAAAACCCUUCAUCAAUAUUGAGUACUUCUAUAAUACUAUAGAAAUUUUUAUGUUAAAACUAGUAACAAGAAGACACUUCUCCUUUAAUGCAAACAUAGAUCAGAAUGAACCACCCACUGAUCAUUAAACAACUGACCAACAGCACCUCCCCAGAAACCCCUGUUUUCACAACUGUUAACCUAACACAAGAGCAUUUCAAGAAAGAUUUAAAGAAAAAGAAGGAACUCGGCAAAUAUUAAUUCCGCCUGUUUACCAAAAACAU